rnacentral:rRNA from 1 species
CUUAACACAUGCAAGUCGAGCGGCAGCACGGGGAGCUUGCUCCCUGGUGGCGAGCGGCGGACGGGUGAGUAAUGCAUAGGAAUCUGCCCGGUAGUGGGGGAUAACGUGGGGAAACCCACGCUAAUACCGCAUACGUCCUACGGGAGAAAGCGGAGGAUCUUCGGACUUCGCGCUAUCGGAUGAGCCUAUGUCGGAUUAGCUAGUUGGUAAGGUAACGGCUUACCAAGGCGACGAUCCGUAGCUGGUCUGAGAGGAUGAUCAGCCACACUGGGACUGAGACACGGCCCAGACUCCUACGGGAGGCAGCAGUGGGGAAUAUUGGACAAUGGGCGAAAGCCUGAUCCAGCCAUGCCGCGUGUGUGAAGAAGGCUUUCGGGUUGUAAAGCACUUUCAGCGAGGAAGAAAGCCUCUGGGUUAAUACCCCAGAGGAAGGACAUCACUCGCAGAAGAAGCACCGGCUAACUCCGUGCCAGCAGCCGCGGUAAUACGGAGGGUGCGAGCGUUAAUCGGAAUUACUGGGCGUAAAGCGCGCGUAGGUGGCUUGGCACGCCGGUUGUGAAAGCCCCGGGCUCAACCUGGGAACGGCAUCCGGAACGGCCAGGCUAGAGUGCAGGAGAGGAAGGUAGAAUUCCCGGUGUAGCGGUGAAAUGCGUAGAGAUCGGGAGGAAUACCAGUGGCGAAGGCGGCCUUCUGGCCUGACACUGACACUGAGGUGCGAAAGCGUGGGUAGCAAACAGGAUUAGAUACCCUGGUAGUCCACGCCGUAAACGAUGUCGACUAGCCGUUGGGACCUUUAAGGACUUAGUGGCGCAGUUAACGCGAUAAGUCGACCGCCUGGGGAGUACGGCCGCAAGGUUAAAACUCAAAUGAAUUGACGGGGGCCCGCACAAGCGGUGGAGCAUGUGGUUUAAUUCGAUGCAACGCGAAGAACCUUACCUACCCUUGACAUCCAGAGGACUUUCCAGAGAUGGAUUGGUGCCUUCGGGAACUCUGAGACAGGUGCUGCAUGGCUGUCGUCAGCUCGUGUUGUGAAAUGUUGGGUUAAGUCCCGUAACGAGCGCAACCCUUGUCCUUAUUUGCCAGCGAUUCGGUCGGGAACUCUAAGGAGACUGCCGGUGACAAACCGGAGGAAGGUGGGGACGACGUCAAGUCAUCAUGGCCCUUACGGGUAGGGCUACACACGUG